rnacentral:rRNA from 1 species
GAUGAACGCUGGCGGCGUGCCUAAUACAUGCAAGUCGAGCGAACAGACGAGGAGCUUGCUCCUCUGACGUUAGCGGCGGACGGGUGAGUAACACGUGGAUAACCUACCUAUAAGACUGGGAUAACUUCGGGAAACCGGAGCUAAUACCGGAUAAUAUAUUGAACCGCAUGGUUCAAUAGUGAAAGACGGUUUUGCUGUCACUUAUAGAUGGAUCCGCGCCGCAUUAGCUAGUUGGUAAGGUAACGGCUUACCGCGGCGACGAUGCGUAGCCGACCUGAGAGGGUGUUCGGCCACACUGGAACUGAGACACGGUCCAGACUCCUACGGGAGGCAGCAGUAGGGAAUCUUCCGCAAUGGGCGAAAGCCUGACGGAGCAACGCCGCGUGAGUGAUGAAGGUCUUCGGAUCGUAAAACUCUGUUAUUAGGGAAGAACAAAUGUGUAAGUAACUAUGCACGUCUUGACGGUACCUAAUCAGAAAGCCACGGCUAACUACGUG